UAAACUCGUUGGCAAAGUCGGUUCGGCAAUCCGUCGAGCCUACGCAAAGAUAGCGCCAAAAGGACAAUUUCGGCUACGAUUGUCGCGAGCGCGGAUCGCGGUUCUCGGGAAAGUGCAGGAAGUGGAUUUCUCGCGUUCAGGUAUCAGAUAAAGGUCGGCGACGCGCUAAUUACGGUAGAGACCGUUCUAGUUCUAUUUGCACUGAGUCGCGAGAGCUAGUUGUCGACGCAUUCCGAGACGUGAGAUCCUAGUUGUGGACACCACUACAGGUUCCAGUGUGAGCGUUGUGGCCGAGGAUCGAAGCAAGAGCCCAGCAUCCUAGCUAGCUGACACCAGAGUUAUAGUUGUUUAACAUUUUGAGUUCAUGUAUCAUCUAUUUUGAUGUACUGAGACAUGUAAAUGAAUGUAUAUAA